AGUGAACGUUGGCGGCGUGGAUUAGGCAUGCAAGUCGAGCGAGAACCGUAGCAAUACGGGGACAGCGGCGAAAGGGACAGUAAUGUGUAGGUACCUACCCCGAGGUCUGGGAUAGCUGCGGGAAACUGCAGGUAAUACCGGAUAAUGUCUUCGGACCAAAGGUGUGAUUCCACCUUGGGAGGGGCCUGCAUCCUAUUAGCUAGUUGGCGGGGUAAUGGCCCACCAAGGCAACGAUGGGUAGCGGGUGUGAGAGCACGACCCGCGUCAUUGGGACUGAGCCACUGCCCAGAGACCUACGGGUGGCUGCAGUCGAGGAUCUUCGGCAAUGGGCGAAAGCCUGACCGAGCGACGCCGCGUGCGGGAUGAAGGCCUUCGGGUUGUAAACCGCUGUCGUAGAGGAGGAAAUGCAGGGGGGUUCUCCCUUCUGUUUGACCUAUUCUAGGAGGAAGGACGGGCUAAGUUCGUGCCAGCCGCCGCGGUAA
rnacentral:rRNA from 1 species